GUAAUCAUAUGCUUGUCUCAAAGAUUAAGCCAUGCAUGUCUAAGUACAUGCCGAAAUAAGGCGAAACCGCGAAUGGCUCAUUAAAUCAGUUAUGGUUCCUUAGAUCGUUUCUUCCUACUUGGAUAACUGUGGCAAUUCUAGAGCUAAUACAUGCAGUGAGCCUGGAGCCCUUUGGGUAACGGGUGCUUUUAUUAGACCAAGAUCGAUCGGGUUUCGGCCCGUAUUGUGUGGUGACUCUGGAUAACUUUGUGCUGAUCGCAUGGCCACGAGCCGGCGACGUUUCUUUCAAGUGUCUGCCUUAUCAACUUUCGAUGGUAGGUUACUUGCUUACCAUGGUUGUUACGGGUAACGGAGAAUCAGGGUUCGAUUCCGGAGAGGGAGCCUGAGAAACGGCUACCACAUCCAAGGAAGGCAGCAGGCGCGCAAAUUACCCACUCCCGGCACGGGGAGGUAGUGACGAAAAAUAACAAUACGGGACUCUUUUGAGGCCCCGUAAUUGAAAUGAGUACACUCUAAAUCCUUUAACGAGGAUCAAUUGGAGGGCAAGUCUGGUGCCAGCAGCCGCGGUAAUUCCAGCUCCAAUAGCGUAUACUAAAGCUGCUGCGGUUAAAAAGCUCGUAGUUGGAUCUCAGUUCCAGACGAGUAGUGCAUCUACCCGAUGCGACGGCUCGGACUGAACAUCAUGCCGGUUCUUUCUUGGUGCACUUCAUUGUGUGCCUCGAGAUGGCCGGUGCUUUUACUUUGAAAAAAUUAGAGUGCUCAACGCAGGCGAGUCGCCUGAAUAAACUUGCAUGGAAUAAUAGAACAAGACCUCGUUUCUGUUCUGUUGGUUUUUGGAAUACGAGGUAAUGAUUAAGAGGGACGGACGGGGGCAUUCGUAUUGCGGCGCUAGAGGUGAAAUUCUUGGACCGUCGCAAGACGAACUACUGCGAAAGCAUUUGCCAAGAAUGUUUUCAUUGAUCAAGAACGAAAGUCAGAGGUUCGAAGGCGAUCAGAUACCGCCCUAGUUCUGACCAUAAACGAUGCCAACCAGCGAUCCGCCUGAGUUACUCAAAUGACUCGGCGGGCAGCUUCCGGGAAACCAAAGUAUUUGGGUUCCGGGGGAAGUAUGGUUGCAAAGCUGAAACUUAAAGGAAUUGACGGAAGGGCACCACCAGGAGUGGAGCCUGCGGCUUAAUUUGACUCAACACGGGAAAACUUACCCGGCCCGGACACUGGGAGGAUUGACAGAUUGAGAGCUCUUUCUUGAUUCGGUGGAUGGUGGUGCAUGGCCGUUCUUAGUUGGUGGAGCGAUUUGUCUGGUUAAUUCCGAUAACGAACGAGACUCUAGCCUAUUAAAUAGGUGCGGGGUUCCCAGCACCUUACAACCUUCUUAGAGGGACAAGCGGCUCCUAGCCGCACGAAACAGAGCAAUAACAGGUCUGUGAUGCCCUUAGAUGUCCGGGGCCGCACGCGCGCUACACUGAAGGAAGCAGCGUGUCUUUAUCCCUGUCUGAAAAGACUGGGUAACCCGUGGAACUUCUUUCGUGAUUGGGAUAGGGGCUUGCAAUUGUUCCCCUUGAACGAGGAAUUCCCAGUAAGCGCGAGUCAUAAGCUCGCGUUGAUUACGUCCCUGCCCUUUGUACACACCGCCCGUCGCUACUACCGAUUGAAUGAUUUAGUGAGGUCUUCGGACCGAUGUCCGGCGCGGCCUUUCGGUUGCGCCGGUCUGUUGGAAAGAUGACCAAACUUGAUCAUUUAGAGGAAGUAAAAGUCGUAACAAGGUUUCCGUAGGUGAACCUGCGGAAGGAUCAUUA
rnacentral:rRNA from 5 species